AUCCAUCUAAAGAAAAUGAGGAAAAAAAGAAAAAGAAGAACGAGACAGAAACCACCACAUGCCGCUGCCUCCCCCGAAACCGUCUCUCCCUCCCCCCUCUCUCUCUCUCUCUCUCUCUCGCUCGUCUCUCCCUCCCCCCGAAACCGUCGCCGUCGCCACCUACGCUGCUUGAUUUCGGCGUGUUCCGGCGGGCCUCGCCGGCACGCAGCACAGAUCUGAGAUCCCCUGCCUCCGCUCUUCCCUUCCUUCCGGCCAGAUCCACCUCUCGCGGCCCUGGGAGCUCACCCCCGACCCCUUCCCAUGGCUAGGGUUUCGAGGGUGGCGUCCCCACCAACUCCAGCGCUGCAGCGGCGACUGUGCUCCGCCCUCUUCGACGCCCACCGCAAGUCCCACAGGUGGUUCCGCCUCGUGGAUGGUGCUCCUGCACCCGAUGGCUGCGGGGUGGACGCGCGCUAUGGGUAUACUCCGGCGACGCGGAACACACUUCCUCUACUCUUCCUUGCGGGGGUGGGGGUGGGGGAUGAAGAUCAAGGAGGAUGAUAAGCAGAAGAAGAAGCCGGCCAGGACGUGCGUCCAGAUCGAGGAGAUCCCCGAGGACAACACCGCCGGCUGCGACGCCAUCCGCAAGGCCUUUGCUAUGGGGAACGGCAAGGGGAAGGCCAAGGAGUUGUCGCCGCAGGAUGCCGCGCUGCUCAUCCAGAUGAACUACAGGCCGCACCUCGCCCACCGCUCCCAGGUGCUCCGCUGCCUGCGUGAUCUCGCCGUCGCCAAGGCCAAGCUCAAGGAGCUCAGGUCCCUCUUCUACAACCUCUCCUACAGGCGCCGCCUCUCGCAUGACCACGAGGAGUGCCAGAGGUUCUCCGAGAAGAUCAUUGUCCUGCUGCUCACUGUCGAUGCGCUCGAGUUACUCAUUAAUUCCUGCAGAAAUAUGCUCGGAAGAACAAGGUUUCGGAACCAGAUUCAUAUUUGCAGGAUAAUAAGGUGUUGUUGCAUAAGUCGAAUGGACCAACUAGCAGGCGCCGUGUUUCCUGAAGUGUUGUGACCAUGGAGGACUUGGUGCAUCGAGCACCUUGAGUCCUUACUGCGUGCAUGCCUGUCUUGAAUGCUAGUGCACACUUCACGCCAGCGCCUUCACCUUCUCCACAAACGACCAGAGUUCCCAAGUCUGAGGAUGCGCGCACGACAGCGACACCUUUAGUUGCUGAUUUGCUUCAGAUCAUGGAAGCUUGGGUUGAUGGAGUGCUUGUCUUUAGUUUUUGUUUUGACUUUGUAAAACUUGCUACCUAUGGAUGAAACUAUGUAAUAUUGAUGAAACUAUGUAUAUGUAUGGAUGAAACUUGCUACUGUUGAUAAUAUAUGUUGGAUAUGUGUUGG
rnacentral:rRNA from 1 species